GCUAACAUCAUCACACGCCUCGCUAAAGAGAAGCAGUUCCAGCCAUCACAUUAGAGGUUUACAAUGCGAAAGCAAGAGAGAUGACGUGUACGGGCAGUCCUCGACUUACCAAUGGGUUCCGUUCCUGUUCAUAAGUCGAACGUUUCGCAAGUCGGAACACAAUCAAGUACUGCAUUUAAAAGCACAAAGGAUCAGUUUUAAAAUGGGUUGCGGUUCAUCAAACAAGGGGCAGCAGCAGCACCACCAGAAAUUCCUUCUUCAAAAAUUCAUCGCCAUGUAUGGUAGCGUUCAGCCCGUGACGCCGCCGCAUCCUUUACCAAAUAAGGUGAAGAGUUGCCCCGGGAGAGCAGCAGCCCAGCUCGGCGAGCGAAUCAGGGCCGUGGUGAAUGAAUGACUGAGCGAAUGAAUGAAUGCGUGCAUGGGAUAAUCGUGUUCUUUCGUGCGGCGCGCUGUGUGCAGCGCGCUGGUGCAGAGAUUGGCAACGGCGUUUUUGAGACGCAACGAGCGAUCACGGCGCCGCAGCCGCUGUAUUUAUGCCCUGGCUCAGCUUUGAGCAGCAGCACUGCCCCAGGGUGCCUGGCUCUGCGGCUGGGCUGGGAGUCACGCGGAGGAGGAAGCCGCCGCGGCUCCUGGACGCGGAGCGGCGCUCACCAAGCGACGGGUUGCGAUGUGCGCCGCGCACGUGCGCGGACUAUCGGCUGGUUGGUGACAGCGGCACCAUCGGAUCUGCCUCGCGCAGCCCUGGGACAAUGAACAACAACUCGACGCGUUCGUCAAUACCAUUGUGGCCUUGAAAUAUAUACUGUAUAAAUACAGUAAUAGUUGACGUUUCGGGCAAUGACAUAUCAUACCACAUAUAUGUGCUAUAAGGGUCAUUUCCCGAAUCGUCGCCCGUUACAGAAUAUAUUUCUAUUCAAAAUUUUUCCUCUUAAGGCCACAAUGUAACUGACGAAUUGUCUUGAGUUUUUUAUGACAUUUAAUUUGAAAGCCUUAAACCUAACAAUGAAAUAUGAAGCCGCGUAUGAAAAAGAGCACGGAAUUAUUGUGAAUACUGAAGUACCGAGUGGCACGUAAAUCAUAUCGACCGUGUUGAGACAUUGUGUGCGUGGCUGUGUAUAAUCAUAAACGAAUUCACGUCCUCUGCAAUGAUGAUGAAUGGUUAUUCGGCGGUAAUUCGGUUCCAUUCCCACCCCUCAUCCACUGGGCUAGGCUCCCUGCACCCGAACUCGUGCUGAUCGCUAAGUUUCGAGAGACGAGGAAUGCUGCUCGACUUGCUUCCCACCUGGACCGCUCUCAGCCCAAACUACAUUCCUCUCCAUCCUGCAGCUAAUCCUCAACCUCCAUCCCCGCCGAGCGGUGGUGGUAGCGGCUACGCACGUUGCCAGUCUGUAACCCAGCACUGUGGAGGCAGUAGCGAGGGUUGGUGAAUCACUGCGCGAUGUUGUUGUGAAACUUCCUUCCCGUGGGCAUCAAGGAGGAGCCAUACCCUUGCUCGCCAGGAGAUGCGGAUACCAAAAUGGGCUCCAGCUUUUCCGCCUGGACGGGAUAGAGUGUUGCCCUUUCGCACGCGUGGGAUUUUUUUUCAGGUGCGCCGGUUUACUCCCAUACAUACACACUCAUUAAUUGGUCUAAAUAUCUUAAUACAUAGAGGACUGCAGAACUUGGGUAAUUAAUGUCUUCGGCUCACUGCGUGGCUCCUGUCUUCCCAGUCGUCUGUAGUUCCUCCUUGUACCUCUGAGUCGUCCUCUCAUUCCCCUCUCUUUGAGAGUAGGCGAAUACUCAACCACAUUUCAAGUUGACAUUGUUAUGAUGUUGUCACAUGUUGAAACAAAGGUUCCCAACCUUUAUAAGCCCAUAGAGGGUCUUUGUCUAUAAAUAUCUGGCAGUUCACCAGCAUUGACUCAAGCACGCCUGACUGCUGAUGAGACACUCAAUGUCAAGACCGAUGCAGAGUUGUGCUUGCGUUGAAGCAAUGCUGCCACAAUGAUGCACUCCCAGAAGGCCAUGUGGCUGACGGAUAAUGUGUAAAUAAGUGCAUAUUUUUAUGUGGGGGGACAGAUAUGGGAAGGUGUAUUAUUUGCGGAUAUAUUUUGGACCCAUAGACUACUAACUGUCAAACCUCCAACUAUUUCUGUAGAUCACCAUGCAGGAAAAAUAAAAGUUGCUGUUCUGUGCAGAAGAAAUGGAAUCUGCAGCAGUUCCAGGGCCCAAUUCCCACAGCCUGGUGAUGGCACUACGAGCAGGGCGCUCGCAGCGCAGGCUGGAGGCGCUGCACGCAAACAGGACGCGGACAUCGCCAAGAGGCUUACUCUCAGAGUGUUGAGUGCCUUUCCACGAGCCCGGCUUGCAUCUGCAGUCUCUAUAAGGUUGCCAUUAGCAGGCUGACUUUUUGGUCUCACCCCAUAUCGUGUACAACCACCACAUCAUGUGACAAAGACAAAGAUUUGCCGUAAAGCUUUAACAGUCUUUUGG